UAAUGUAACAUUAUUACUGUAAUUCAGCUAUAAUAAUAACAAUAUAUUCUCUCAAUAAUAUCAGGAUAUGAUUUAUUUUCUAACAACACAAGACAAAAUAAAACAUCAAUUACAACAAAAGAACAAAGAAGCACCAACCUCUUCGAGAAAGAAAAGUGUCAAACUCCACCACGAACCAGCACGACCAUCACGAAACAACACGAACCCCGCACCAUCCAGGCACCACCAAAGUACCAAAAAUGAAGAAGAAAUAACGAAAAAAGCGAAAACAAAUUAUGAAACAAGAAUGAAAGAAAGGGAGAAUGGAGGGUGAGGCUGCAAAGAAAUAACGAAAGGGAGAGAAAGAAGGAAAGAGAGAGGGGGGGGGGGUUGCAGAUUAAGAAAGAAAGUGAGAGAAACAAAGAAUGGGAGAUUGAGGUUGCACGGAAAGAGAGAAAGAAAGGGAGAGAAACAAAGAAUGGGAGAUUGAGGUUUGAACUUAUAAUUUUUUAAACAUUUUGAUCAAAAUGUUUUGUGUUCAUCUUAUCUUAUUUGACAAUCAAGUUGAUCAUUGACUACAAGAACUAACUCACCCUUUAAAUAAAAACAAAAACAGAAUAUUAAAAAUAUAGAUGUAAGGUUCUUAUUGUAAUUUUUAAAUUUUAAUAUUUGA
rnacentral:lncRNA from 1 species